AAAUGGCUGCAGUAUUUUAACUGUACAAAGGUAGCAUAAUCAUUAGUCUUUUAAUUGAAGGCUUGUAUGAAUGGUUGGACGAGAUAUUAACUGUUUCAUGAUAAUUAAUUUAGAAUUUUAUUUUUUAGUUAAAAAGCUAAAAUAUAUUUAAAAGACGAGAAGACCCUAUAGAUCUUUAUAUUUAUGUGUAUUAUAAUUAUUUAGAUUAUUUGAUUUAUGAUUAUAUUGAAUAUUUUAUUGGGGUGAUAUUAAAAUUUAAUUAACUUUUAAUUUUUGUUUACAUUGAUUUAUGAAUAUUUGAUCCAUUAAUAAUGAUUAAAAAAUUAAGUUACCUUAGGGAUAACAGCGUAAUUUUUUUGAAGAGUUCAUAUCGAUAAAAAAGAUUGCGACCUCGAUGUUGGAUUAAGAUAUAAUUUUGGGUGCAGCAAUUCAAUUAUUAAGUC
rnacentral:rRNA from 1 species